AGAGUUUGAUCCUGGCUCAGGAUGAACGCUGGCGGCGUGCCUAAUACAUGCAAGUCGAGCGAACGGACGAGAAGCUUGCUUCUCUGAUGUUAGCGGCGGACGGGUGAGUAACACGUGGAUAACCUACCUAUAAGACUGGGAUAACUUCGGGAAACCGGAGCUAAUACCGGAUAAUAUUUUGAACCGCAUGGUUCAAAAGUGAAAGACGGUCUUGCUGUCACUUAUAGAUGGAUCCGCGCUGCAUUAGCUAGUUGGUAAGGUAACGGCUUACCAAGGCAACGAUGCAUAGCCGACCUGAGAGGGUGAUCGGCCACACUGGAACUGAGACACGGUCCAGACUCCUACGGGAGGCAGCAGUAGGGAAUCUUCCGCAAUGGGCGAAAGCCUGACGGAGCAACGCCGCGUGAGUGAUGAAGGUCUUCGGAUCGUAAAACUCUGUUAUUAGGGAAGAACAUAUGUGUAAGUAACUGUGCACAUCUUGACGGUACCUAAUCAGAAAGCCACGGCUAACUACGUGCCAGCAGCCGCGGUAAUACGUAGGUGGCAAGCGUUAUCCGGAAUUAUUGGGCGUAAAGCGCGCGUAGGCGGUUUUUUAAGUCUGAUGUGAAAGCCCACGGCUCAACCGUGGAGGGUCAUUGGAAACUGGAAAACUUGAGUGCAGAAGAGGAAAGUGGAAUUCCAUGUGUAGCGGUGAAAUGCGCAGAGAUAUGGAGGAACACCAGUGGCGAAGGCGACUUUCUGGUCUGUAACUGACGCUGAUGUGCGAAAGCGUGGGGAUCAAACAGGAUUAGAUACCCUGGUAGUCCACGCCGUAAACGAUGAGUGCUAAGUGUUAGGGGGUUUCCGCCCCUUAGUGCUGCAGCUAACGCAUUAAGCACUCCGCCUGGGGAGUACGACCGCAAGGUUGAAACUCAAAGGAAUUGACGGGGACCCGCACAAGCGGUGGAGCAUGUGGUUUAAUUCGAAGCAACGCGAAGAACCUUACCAAAUCUUGACAUCCUUUGACAACUCUAGAGAUAGA
rnacentral:rRNA from 3 species